CCCUUAGAUGUUCUGGGCUGCACACGUGCUACACUGGCAGGUUCAGCGAGCUUCAUGCCCUGAUCUGAAAGGAAUGGGAAAUCUUUUCAAAACCUGCCGUGCUUGGGAUAGAUGCUUGCAAUUAUUCAUCUUCAACGAGGAUUGCCUUGUAAGCGCACGUCAUCAGCGUGCAUUGAAUACGACCCUGUAUUCUGUACACACCGCCCGUCGCUCCUACCGAUUGAAGUUUUCGGUGAGUUGACAGGAGGAUUUUUUUGAAACUGGUUCGCCAGUGGAUUUUAGAUCCAAAUGCCAACGAAUCGAUGGCUUUAGAGGAAGGAGAAGUCGUAACA
rnacentral:rRNA from 1 species